AUUGAACGCUGGCGGCAUGCCUAACACAUGCAAGUCGAACGAGUGGCGGACGGGUGAGUAAUGUCUGGGAAACUGCCCGCUGGUGGGGGAUAAAUACUUGAAACGGUAGCUAAUACCGCAUACCAUCAGAUGUGCCCACAUGGGAUUAGCUAGUAGGUGGGGUAACGGCUCACCUAGGCGCCGAUCCCCAGCUGGUCUGAGAGGAUGACCAGCUACACUGGAACUGAGACACGGUCCAGACUCCUACGGGAGGCAGCAGUGGGGAAUAUGGCACAAUGGGCGCAAGCCUGAUGCAGCCAUGCCGCGUGUAUGAAGAAGGCCUUCGGGUUGUAAAGUACUUUCAGCGGGGAGGCGUUACCCGCAGAAGAAGCACCGGCUAACUCCGUGCCAGCAGCCGCGGUAAUAC
rnacentral:rRNA from 1 species